rnacentral:rRNA from 1 species
UGGGGAAUAUUGGACAAUGGGCGGAAGCCUGAUCCAGCCAUGCCGCGUGUGUGAAGAAGGCCUUUUGGUUGUAAAGCACUUUAAGCGAGGAGGAGGCUCUUCUAGUUAAUACCUAGGAUGAGUGGACGUUACUCGCAGAAUAAGCACCGGCUAACUCUGUGCCAGCAGCCGCGGUAAUACAGAGGGUGCAAGCGUUAAUCGGAAUUACUGGGCGUAAAGCGCGCGUAGGUGGUUCGUUAAGUUGAAUGUGAAAGCCCCGGGCUCAACCUGGGAACUGCAUCCAAAACUGGCGAGCUAGAGUAGGGCAGAGGGUGGUGGAAUUUCCUGUGUAGCGGAGAAAUGCGUAGAUAUAGGAAGGAACACCAGUGGCGAAGGCGACCACCUGGGCUCAUACUGACACUGAGGUGCGAAAGCGUGGGGAGCAAACAGG